GCAUCGGUGGUUUAGUGGUAAAAUUAGCCGUUGCCAUUCGAACGUUGCCUCCAGCAGCUUCGCAAUGAUCGGCUAGCCCCGGGUUCGAUUCCCGGCCGAUGCA
rnacentral:tRNA from 1 species